rnacentral:rRNA from 1 species
UACAGAGGGUGCAAGCGUUAAUCGGAAUUACUGGGCGUAAAGCGUGCGUAGACGGUUAUGUAAGUCGGGUGUGAAAGCCCCGGGGCUCAACCUGGGAAUGCCAUUCGAGACUGCAUAGCUAGGGUGCGGAAGAGGGAAGCGGAAUUUCCGGUGUAGCGGUGAAAUGCGUAGAUAUCGGAAGGAACACCGGUGGCGAAGGCGGAUCUCUGGGCCGAUACUGACGCUGAGGAGCGAAAGCGUGGGGAGCGAACAGG